CGGGUGCACUGAUCCGGCCGGGCCUUUCCCUCUGUGGAACCCCAUGGCCUUCACUGGCUGUGCGGGGGAAACAGGACUUUUACUGUGAAAAAAUUAGAGUGCUCCAGGCAGGCCUAUGCUCGAAUACAUUAGCAUGGAAUAAUAGAAUAGGACGCGUGGUUCUAUUUUGUUGGUUUCUAGGACCGCCGUAAUGAUUAAUAGGGACAGUCGGGGGCAUCAGUAUUCAAUUGUCAGAGGUGAAAUUCUUGGAUCUAUUGAAGACUAACUACUGCGAAAGCAUUUGCCAAGGAUGUUUUCAUUGAUAAGGAACGAAAGUUAGGGGAUCGAAGACGAUCAGAUACCGUCGUAGUCUUAACUAUAAACUAUGCCGACUAGGGAUCGGACGAUGUUAUUUCUUGACGCGUUCGGCACCUUUCGAGAAAUCAAAGUGCUUGGGCUCCAGGGGGAGUAUGGUCGCAAGGCUGAAACUUAAAGAAAUUGACGGAAGGGCACCACCAGGGGUGGAACCUGCGGCUUAAUUUGACUCAACACGGGGAAACUCACCAGGUCCAGACACAGUGAGGAUUGACAGAUUGAGAGCUCUUUCUUGAUUCUGUGGGUGGUGGUGCAUGGCCGUUCUUAGUUGGUGGAGUGAUUUGUCUGCUUAAUUGCGAUAACGAACGAGACCUUAACCUGCUAAAUAGCCCGUACUGCUCUGGCAGUUCGCCGGCUUCUUAGAGGGACUAUCGCG
rnacentral:rRNA from 1 species